GCCAGUAUGGUGUAGUGGUUAGCAUGUCUGCUCAAAAAAGUCAUUUGAUAUUAUUGGAUUUAUUUUUGAGGUCUCGGGUUCAAUUCCCUGAAUUGUCC